GGCCUGAGAGGGUGAUCCCCCACACUGGUACUGAGACACGGACCAGACUCCUACGGGAGGCAGCAGUGAGGAAUAUUGGACAAUGGGUGCAAGCCUGAUCCAGCCAUCCCGCGUGUAGGAAGACGGCCCUAUGGGUUGUAAACUACUUUUAUCUGGGGAUAAACCUACUUACGUGUAAGUAGCUGAAGGUACCAGAUGAAUAAGCACCGGCUAACUCCGUGCCAGCAGCCGCGGUAAUACGGAGGGUGCAAGCGUUAUCCGGAUUUAUUGGGUUUAAAGGGUCCGUAGGCGGGCUGAUAAGUCAGUGGUGAAAUCCGACAGCUUAACUGUCGAACUGCCAUUGAUACUGUCAGC
rnacentral:rRNA from 1 species